rnacentral:rRNA from 1 species
UCGGGGUACUCNAGUGGCGAACGGGUGAGUAACACGUGGGUGAUCUGCCCUGCACUUUGGGAUAAGCCUGGGAAACUGGGUCUAAUACCGAAUAGGACCACGCGCUUCAUGGUGUGUGGUGGAAAGCUUUUGCGGUGUGGGAUGGGCCCGCGGCCUAUCAGCUUGUUGGUGGGGUAAUGGCCUACCAAGGCGACGACGGGUAGCCGGCCUGAGAGGGUGACCGGCCACACUGGGACUGAGAUACGGCCCAGACUCCUACGGGAGGCAGCAGUGGGGAAUAUUGCACAAUGGGCGCAAGCCUGAUGCAGCGACGCCGCGUGAGGGAUGACGGCCUUCGGGUUGUAAACCUCUUUCAAUAGGGACGAAGCGCAAGUGACGGUACCUAUAGAAGAAGCACCGGCCAACUACGUGCCAGCAGCCGCGGUAAUACGUAGGGUGCGAGCGUUGUCCGGAAUUACUGGGCGUAAAGAGCUCGUAGGUGGUUUGUCGCGUUGUUCGUGAAAACUCACAGCUUAACUGUGGGCGUGCGGGCGAUACGGGCAGACUAGAGUACUGCAGGGGAGACUGGAAUUCCUGGUGUAGCGGUGGAAUGCGCAGAUAUCAGGAGGAACACCGGUGGCGAAGGCGGGUCUCUGGGCAGUAACUGACGCUGAGGAGCGAAAGCGUGGGGAGCGAACAGGAUUAGAUACCCUGGUAGUCCACGCCGUAAACGGUGGGUACUAGGUGUGGGUUCCUUCCUUGGGAUCCGUGCCGUAGCUAACGCAUUAAGUACCCCGCCUGGGGAGUACGGCCGCAAGGCUAAAACUCAAAGGAAUUGACGGGGGCCCGCACAAGCGGCGGAGCAUGUGGAUUAAUUCGAUGCAACGCGAAGAACCUUACCUGGGUUUGACAUGCACAGGACGCCGGCAGAGAUGUCGGUUCCCUUGUGGCCUGUGUGCAGGUGGUGCAUGGCUGUCGUCAGCUCGUGUCGUGAGAUGUUGGGUUAAGUCCCGCAACGAGCGCAACCCUUGUCCUAUGUUGCCAGCGGGUUAUGCCGGGGACUCGUAGGAGACUGCCGGGGGUCAACUCGGAGGAAGGUGGGGAUGACGUCAAGUCAUCAUGCCCCUUAUGUCCAGGGCUUCACACCAUGCUACAAUGGCCGGUACAAAGGGCUGCGAUGCCGUGAGGUGGAGCGAAUCCUUUCAAAGCCGGUCUCAGUUCGGAUCGGGGUCUGCACAAACUCGACCCCGUGAAGUCGGAGUCGCUAGUAAUCGCAGAUCAGCAACGCUGCGGUGAAUACGUUCCCGGGCCUUGUACACACCGCCCGUCAC